GCCAGGUGUGGUGGCGCGCACCUGUAAUCCCAGCUACUCAGGAGGCUGAGGCAGGAGAAUCGCUUGAGCCCUGGGAGGCAGAGGUUGCAGUGAGCUGAGAUCACUCCACUACACUCCAGCCUGGGCGACAGAGAGAGACUCUGUCUCAA
ensembl:misc_RNA Metazoa_SRP Metazoan signal recognition particle RNA